CUACGGGUCGCUGCAGUGAGGAAUAUUGCACAAUGGGGGAAACCCUGAUGCAGCAACGCCGCGUGGAGGAUGACGCAUUUCGGUGUGUAAACUCCUUUUAUGAGUCAAGAAAAUGACGGUAGCUCAUGAAUAAGCACCGGCUAACUCCGUGCCAGCAGCCGCGGUAAUACGGAGGGUGCAAGCGUUACUCGGAAUCACUGGGCGUAAAGGACGCGUAGGCGGGAUGUCAAGUCAGGUGUGAAUUCCUAUGGCUCAACCAUAGAACUGCACUUGAAACUGGCAACCUAGAGUAUGGGAGGGGGAGAUGGAAUUAGUGGUGUAGGGGUAAAAUCCGUAGAUAUCACUAGGAAUACCGAAAGCGAAGGCGAUCUCCUGGAACAUUACUGACGCUAAGGCGUGAAAGCGUGGGGAGCAAACAGGAUUAGAUACCCUAGUAGUC
rnacentral:rRNA from 1 species